rnacentral:rRNA from 1 species
AGCAGCCGCGGUAAUUCCAGCUCCAAUAGCGUAUAUUAAAGUUGUUGCAGUUAAAAAGCUCGUAGUUGAAUUUCGGGGUUAGUAGGUUGGUCAUGCCUCUGGUAUGUACUGGUCUCACUGAUUCCUCCUUCUUUAUGAACCGUAAUGCCAUUAAUUUGGUGUUGCGGGGAAUUUGGACUGUUACUUUGAAAAAUUGAGUGUUUAAAGCAAGCUAACGCUUGAAUACAUUAGCAUGGAAUAAUGAAAUAGGACGUUCGAUCUUAUUUGUUGGUUCUAGGAUUGACGUAAUGAUUAAUAGGGAUAGUUGGGGGCAUUAGUAUUCAAUUGUCAGAGGUGAAAUUCUUGGAUUUAUUGAAGACUAACUACUGCGAAAGCAUUUGCCAAGAUGUUUCAGUUAAUCAAGAGCGAAAGUUAGGGAUCGAAGACGAUCAGAUACCGUCGUAGUCUUAACCAUAAACUACGACCG